CUCACAGGCUACAACCCUUUCACAAGCGAAGUUCCUCUCUGCCAAGACAGGAGAGUAUGACUGGAAGAGAUGUGCUGUAUCGCUGGACAUCAUGCUAGCUAAUUGUGAAGCUAGACAUUCAGUCUCCCCAUGUACUCUCAGCAGGUAAAGGCUAUGGCCUUGAAGGAGAAACCCAUGACAGAGAGGAGUUCCACAUGGGUUUCUACCAGCUUCUCUACCGUUGACCUGCUCUGUGAGGCCUCUUUCAUCCUGUGCUGGGGCUUCUCUGAUGCAGUGACUGGGCUGCCUGGCAUUCAGCUGACUGUUCUGUAAUAUAUUCCAUAAGAUUCCUCAGAAGAUUCUGAGGGAUUGAGCACCAAUUGACGAUAGCAGCAGCCAAUUCAAGAAUUCAUCCUUGUUUGGGGGUUUACUUCCUUCCCCUUCACUCUCCCCACCUCUCACAACUGCUC